GCAACCCCCAACGCGAUGCUGCUUCAGAGGGAGGCACGAGCGUUGGCUGCACAGCCCUUACCGCUUGGACAGCGACGGGGUCCUCUGGGGAGAACUCGCUCCGACAUGGUGCCGUUCGGCCGGGCAGGGAGUUGUCCAGGACGAAGACACAACGGGGCGGUGGAAACUCAGUCGAUAAAGAGACAGACAGGAUGUCUCGUACACGAAGCUUUGAAAGAGAAUGGGGAGCAAUCGGAAAUGGAAGGGCCAGAUGAUUUGGACAUCGCACACUGCCUUACACUGGAGUUAACGCAAGAUGAUAUGGAUGGAACGUAUGAGUUGGACUCUCCAUCUCUUGCUAUUCCGGAUCUUCCCUUCGUGUCCUCUACAACGACGAGCACCGCCCGUACGUCUACCACCACUACGGCAUCACUUCCAUCCUACUCCGACCUUGGCAAAGAUACUGUGCUGGUAUCUUCAGCUUCCCCAGAGCCACGUCUUCUCGUUUCUACAGCAACGGCCAUUCAAGAAGCUGUUGUUGCCACAGCGACAGCCAAGGCAUCCAGCCUAGCACAUCUCACAGUGCCUGCGCAGGUGUAUGUCACCUCUGAAAACGGGAAAUGACAAAUGAUAUAAAAGCAUGAAGUCGGACAACAAAAUGGAGCAAACUUUUGUAUUCACCAAAACAUCUCGUCCUCGUCACUCCUCCUUCUGCCUUUAUUUUUCAAGUGGAAUGUAAACAGUCAGUGCAUCUUUGUCAUGGUUCACAGAAGAACCUCGAGUAAGGUUUACAAAAAGUAAGCAUUUAUUUUCUUGAUGAAUUUUCUUGCUUUUUCUGAUUGUUUUUAAUUUUAAAUCAUGCUCCUCUACGGUUGUGGAUUUCUUCCACAGAAGAGGUGAACCCAUUUCUCCUUCACCUACAAUGCCAUGGUAUAUUACCUUUUGAAUUUGUAAUCCUUUGAUGACGAGGGCAACUGCCUCUUUUCCACAUCAUUGCUAUGAGGUGCAUUCAAAUAUGAAGGUAUCCUAACCACUUCUCACAUAAUCUCUGAGGAGCACACCUGUCCAUCCAUGCCGUGAAGACUAUAACAAAGCUUUGUUCGGUGGUUUAUGUAGAGCCCACUGAUUCUCACUGUGAUCUGGAGGAGAAGAUGCGAGCAUGAAUGGUGUCGUUCAUUUUUGGAAAUUGCCAAAAGUCACUGGGCCCAAGGUCCGGUGAAUAUGGUGCAUGUGUGGUGAUUUCAACACACUGCCACUUGAAGAGUUCCUGAACCCAAGCAGCUAGUUGUGGUGGAAGCAAAACCAUGACUAUGCAAGUUCUGGACGUUUCUUCCGUUUUUAGAACACGAUCGAUGAGAAUGACGCACGGAGCAUCCAUCCUAAAAGAUGAACACAAUCGGCAUCCCCGAUGCUGCCUGCACAUGAAAUAUAUUUGGUGAACGUGAGUCGGAAUGCUUCCACGGUGCCGGCUGCCUUUUAGUUUCCGGAUUGAAGAAGGGAAUCCAGGUUUCAUCCAUGGUCACAAUGGUGUUCACAAACUGCCCCACACAAGCUGCAUUAUUGGUCACCAUAUUGGGAGACGUGGAGAGUUGUCUGGCUCUUUUUGUCUUGCGCGAGCAUUCGCAGCACCCAGCCAAAAUUUUUGACAUUUUGAGAUCGGUGUGCAAAAGCGUCUCGACAAAACCAUUUAACAGGCCUGUGACCACUGCGAUUUCUUCCACCGUUAUUCUGCAAUUGCUCGUCACCAAUUCUUCUGCACACGGAAUGGUGUUCAGUAAACGGCUCGUUCGAGGUCGUCUGGAAUGAGGCUCGGCUUCGUUGCAUUCAUGUCUCUCUCUAAACUUCCGCGAACAACUCGAAACUUUUAUCAAAGCCAUGGUUCCCUUUCCCCACACACUGCAAACAGCCAGUCGUGAAUGUCCACAGAAGUUUACCCCUUAGAUACCAAAAUUGAAUGAUAAUGCGUUGCCCAUGCAAGCUGUAAGUGGCUAUUUUCCAGGGUACAAGUACACGCUGUGCAUGUACAAAGCAAUCUCACUGACACACCACAUGAUUUACUCCAUUGCCACUUGUCAAAGGACGUAGGAAAUGUUCCAUCCACAUGUGCAAUAGCCGUUCAGUUCAAUCGCAUGUUUGUGGAUUAUGAAUUUGGACACCUUCAUAUUUGAAUGCUCUUCCUAUUUGAUCAUAAUUUUUUUUUUAAUUUUGUUAACCACAAACAGAUAUUAUCAUGUGGGUUGGCCCGAAUUCCACCUUGGUGCUGCCCUUUCUUUGUGCAAGGUGCUGACUUGUUGCCUCUGUUUUUCAAAUUCCCAUGAGUGUGUGUGAGUGUACGCAUUUCAAGCUGGUUCACGAUCCUUUAUCUUCAGUUCUUUUUGUACGAAUGUUUUCAUCCUCUCAGCAUAUUUGUGGAUAUGGUUCCAUGUCAAGGCAGCCAUUCAUGCCACUCGGGACUCAGUUGAAUCUUUAUCUUGCUUUUCACCCUCAUCUAAAUCUGCCACGUCUUGGCGAUAUUACACGAUGCACUUGUUGAAAGUGGAUGUGAACGUUGUCAUCCAACGGUCAUUCCCACCCUCCAUCAGUAGGCACGAGUCGGUUUGCAUAUCAGAAUUUUCACAACAGAUCUCUUUUAGUGAAAGCCUUCUUUUUAGUUCUUGAUACAUCCAAAACAUUUCCGCAAACUCGGUUCAAGUUUCUUUGGAAGUUAUUUUCAAAUGUCCUGCAUUUUCUUGGUUGCUUGUAUCUUUGUAUGUGGUUGUUUGGUUUUUGUUCGUUUGUUUGUUGUAAAACUCUGGCUGUUUUCACCAUGUCACUAUCCACAAUCUUUCCUACCUCAAUCAUCUCACUUGUUUUUUUGUUUUUUUUAAUCUUGCACUCUUUCUUUCUGUCCCAGAGGGGGCCUUUACCAUGCCAACCACAAUUUUCAUCACCACCCUAAAUUUCUCUCUUGUCUUGUCCUCUGACUUCUGUGAAGUUGUGGCUUCCAGGGGGAGAUAUAUUGCUGGAAAAGAAAGCUUGACAUUUGCCUUUACAUCAGUAGCCCCAAAGACCACCUCUCAUUCGCACUCCAGUUUUAGCUUCCUGUCAGUACAAGCCAAACCAUGGAAGCUCUUCCUUUACCCCUUUUCCUUUCAUGGAGGUUUCUUGGACCAUAAAUCUUCAUAUUCUACUCAUCACAGUUACAGUAAGUUUGUGUGCUCAAAGCUGAAAGGUAAUAGUAAAUUGCCUUCAAAUAUCUUUUAUUUUAUUUUGUAAUUUCCUUGCCAGUACAUCGUAGUUUGUCUUAUCAGCAACAUAUAUGUUAUCUCAAAACAUUUAAAUGUGAUCCCCCCCCCCCC
ensembl:lincRNA